rfam:Rhizobium sp. R1-200B2 contig_3, whole genome shotgun sequence.
GCUUACUGAAAGCCUGACGGUUCUUUUCCGGCAACGGAGAAGACGAAAAGGGAAUGCGGUGCGAUCCGGCAACGGGUCAAUGCCGCGGCUGCCCCCGCAACUGUAAGCGGAGAGCUUCUGCCAAAAAGCCACUGGGGUGAUCCCGGGAAGGUGGGCAGCAAGCGACGACCCGCGAGCCAGGAGACCUGCCGUCGCCAUGUCUAUGCU